GCGGAGGAAAAGAAACCAACAGGGAUUGCCCUAGUAACGGCGAGUGAAGCGGCAACAGCUCAAAUUUGAAAUCUGGCUCUCUUUGGGGGUCCGAGUUGUAAUUUGCAGAGGAUGCUUUGGCAUUGGCGGCGGUCUAAGUUCCUUGGAACAGGACAUCGCAGAGGGUGAGAAUCCCGUACGUGGGCGCCUGCCUUUGCCGUGUAAAGCUCCUUCGACGAGUCGAGUUGUUUGGGAAUGCAGCUCUAAAUGGGAGGUAAAUUUCUUCUAAAGCUAAAUACCGGCCAGAGACCGAUAGCGCACAAGUAGAGUGAUCGAAAGAUGAAAAGUACUUUGGAAAGAGAGUCAAAAAGCACGUGAAAUUGUUGAAAGGGAAGCGCUUGCAGCCAGACUUGCCCGCAGUUGCUCACCUAGGCUUUGGCCUGGGGCACUCUUCUGCGGGCAGGCCAGCAUCAGUUUGGGCGGUCGGACAAAGGCCUCUGUCAAGUAUCUCCCUUCGGGGUGACCUUAUAGGGGAGGCGUAAUGCGACCAGCCCGGACUGAGGUCCGCGCAUCUGCUAGGAUGCUGGCGUAAUGGCUGUAAGCGGCCCGUCUUGAAACACGGACCAAGGAGUCUAACAUCUAUGCGAGUGUUUGGGUGUCAAGCCCGGGCGCGCAAUGAAAGUGAACGGAGGUGGGAACCCUUUGGGUGCACCAUCGACCGAUCCUGAUGUCUUCGGAUGGAUUUGAGUAAGAGCAUAGCUGUUGGGACCCGAAAGAUGGUGAACUAUGCUUGAAUAGGGUGAAGCCAGAGGAAACUCUGGUGGAGGCUCGCAGCGGUUCUGACGUGCAAAUCGAUCGUC
rnacentral:sRNA from 1 species